rnacentral:rRNA from 1 species
GCUUACGGCCACACCACCCUGAACACGCCCGAUCUCGUCCGAUCUCGGAAGCUAAGCAGGGCUGUGGCUGGUUAGUACUUGGAUGGGACACCGCCUGGGAAUACCAUGUGCUGUAAGUU